AUUUUAGUGUCCUUUAGCAUCAGGGCAAUAAGUGGUUAGAUUGUAGAGGAAGAAUUCUGAGACUUUUCCAUCAUCUGCCACAUUUCCUGUCACAUGUGCACCACAUAUAAAACCAGCCACGUUUUAAAAAUUCUUUGAUGGAGUCGUGGGGACAAGAAGAAACCGUAGAAAUACAGUGAGGUGGAAAGAGUGUUGGACUCGGAGUCUCAGGACAAGCUUCACCCUCUGCGAAGGCCAGUCCCUUUCUGCUGCUCCAUAGCCUGGAGACGCCACUCACCGUCACCGUCUUGAAGGGUGAACUGAGGAAGGGGUCAGAGUCAUCCUCACCUCUGUCCCCAGCCCUGGCCUGUGCCACCUCUGAUGGACUUGGUUUCAAGAAUAAGAAAGAAUGCCAUUGUAAUAAGCCAUCAAAGCAUGAUGCCUCUGGAGAUAUGAAUUAAAUAUUUUUCGAGCAAUUAGGCCCCGUGGAGAAUGGAAUGACCACUGCUGCUCCUAGAACAAUAUGAAGAGGGUCACAGAGGACAAGAACAGGAAGACAGGCCCGUGAUGCUGGCCUGUGCCCUCAGCUUCUAAGCUGGCCCUCCCGCCUUGCUGUGUGGGCGGCGUGGCUGGCAGAGACGGGCCACCCAGGAGUAGACUCCGUGUGCGCAUCUUCAGAACUGAUCUGACCUCCAGCUGUGUUUAAACACCAGUGAGCCAGAAGACCAACAGCCUUUGCCAGCUGAGUCUCUUGGCAGUCAAGGGGAUCUUAAUUUGAAGAUGACGUAAAGAAACCUCAGUGAUCAUC
ensembl:lncRNA